CGAAAGCAGUGAUGCAGAGCAAAUCCCCAAAAGCAGUCUUAGUUCGGAUUGUAGGCUGCAACUCGCCUACAUGAAGUCGGAAUUGCUAGUAAUCGCGGAUCAGCAUGCCGCGGUGAAUACGUUCCCGGGCCUUGUACACACCGCCCGUCACACCAUGGGAGUCGGUAACACCCGAAGCCUGUAGUCUAACCGCAAGGAGGACGCAGUCGAAGGUGGGAUUGAUGACUGGGGUGAAGUCGUAACAAGGUAUC
rnacentral:rRNA from 1 species